UACGUAGGGUGCAAGCGUUGUCCGGAAUCAUUGGGCGUAAAGCGCGUGUAGGCGGUUCGGUAAGUCUGCUGUGAAAGUCCAGGGCUCAACCCUGGGAUGCCGGUGGAUACUGUCGGACUAGAGUACGGAAGAGGCGAGUGGAAUUCCCGGUGUAGCGGUGAAAUGCGCAGAUAUCGGGAGGAACACCAAUUGCGAAGGCAGCUCGCUGGGACGUUACUGACGCUGAGACGCGAAAGCGUGGGGAGCAAACAGG
rnacentral:rRNA from 1 species